rnacentral:misc_RNA from 1 species
UCAGCUGGGAGAGCGCCUGCUUUGCAAGCAGGAUGUCGUCGGUUCGAUCCCGUCCGGCUCCACCAACCAUCUUCUGCGAAGAUGGGGCGUGUCGAGUAGAGACGGUGAGAAAAAAGUCAUUCGAAAAAGAGUUUGCGUCGAGCCCUGUGCUCUGCGCCUGUUCUGUUUGACAUCGUAAAGAGAAGAUUUGUUCGAACUUCAUGAGCCGCAAGGUCUCAUGAUUUGUCGCAAGGGACGCUCAAUCCCUUGCUUAUGAUGGGUUUGCCUAACCGCGCCCUCGAACGGAUCUCGAGAAGCUGGUCUUUUUGUGCCAAUUCCAUUGAAGCAGGUCCCGCACAGGAUCUGGUUCGAGGCGACGAUCUCUUCGAGGUCGCGCUUAGCUAACCUCGCAAGAGAGAGGCUGAAGCGACGAUUUCUUCGAAAUCGCGCCUGCGUGAUGGGUAUUGGCAAUGAGAACGAUCAAGUGUCUUAAGGGCAAUUGGUGGAUGCCUUGGCAUGCACAGGCGAUGAAGGACGUGAUACGCUGCGAUAAGCUACGGGGAGGUGCGA